UGGGCAACCUGCCCCCGACCCUGGGAUAACCCCGGGAAACCGGAGCUAAUACCGGAUACUCUCCUCUGACCACCUGGUCGGAUGAGGAAAGGUCCGCCGGUCGGGGAUGGGCCCGCGGCCUAUCAGCUUGUUGGUGGGGUAACGGCCUACCAAGGCAUCGACGGGUAGCUGGUCUGAGAGGACGACCAGCCACACUGGGACUGAGACACGGCCCAGACUCCGUACGGGGGCA
rnacentral:rRNA from 1 species